rnacentral:rRNA from 1 species
UACAGAGGGUGCAAGCGUUACUCGGAAUUACUGGGCGUAAAGCGUGCGUAGGUGGUGAGUUAAGUCUGUCGUGAAAGCCCCGGGCUCAACCUGGGAAUGGCGAUGGAUACUGGCUCGCUAGAGUGCGGUAGAGGAGAGUGGAAUUCCCGGUGUAGCAGUGAAAUGCGUAGAGAUCGGGAGGAACAUCAGUUGCGAAGGCGGCUCUCUGGACCAGCACUGACACUGAGGCACGAAAGCGUGGGGAGCAAACAGG